GGGCCCCCAACUGACCAAGAAGGUGUAGGGCUACGAACCCUUACUUUCUAGGAUGCAACUCCAAGAUUAAUUCUCGUCUUAAUCAACUAUCAACAAAUUGUCUUGAGCCUGAAAAUGGAUAGGAAGAGGGGUGAGAUUAUGAUUACAUAAUCCCAGUGAGUAAACAAUUACCAUCAAAAGCAUCUAAAGCCGAGUAGAUAGAGACAAUAUAAAAACAUUAU
rnacentral:lncRNA from 1 species